rnacentral:rRNA from 1 species
UACGUAGGGCGCAAGCGUUGUCCGGAAUUAUUGGGCGUAAAGGGUUCGUAGGCGGUGUGGCAAGUCGGGAGUGAAAUCUCCAGGCUCAACUUGGAGGCUGCUUCCGAAACUGCCGCGCUAGAGUGCGAGAGAGGCCAGUGGAAUUGCAGGUGUAGCGGUGAAAUGCGUAGAUAUCUGCAGGAACACCCGUGGCGAAGGCGGCUGGCUGGAUCGCAACUGACGCUGAGGAACGAAAGCUAGGGGAGCAAACAGG